AGCAAUAAUGAAGAUAAUUACUGAUAAAAAUUGAUAGGAAGAUAGAAGGUGCUAGAGAAAGAAACUGAAAAUGGAAUAUUACAGAUUUUGAUUGUAGCAUAUUAUGCAUUAGUAUCUCAAGUUAGGUCAAUUUUGUUCAUCCAUUUUAUCCUUACUAUUAAAACAGCACAUUUCAAAGUGUUAAGGAAAACAAUUUUUAAUUGGGAAAUUGUACAAAAGGUGUUUGGCACAGGGCACAGGUAUACGUACUUACAAAUUACUUUGUAUAA
rnacentral:lncRNA from 1 species